UACGGAGGGUGCAAACGUUGCUCGGAAUCAUUGGGCGUAAAGCGCACGUAGGCGGACCGCUAAGUCGGAUGUGAAAGCCCUCGGCUUAACCGAGGAAGUGCAUUCGAAACUGACGGUCUUGAGUAUGGAAGAGGGUCGCGGAAUUCCCGGUGUAGAGGUGAAAUUCGUAGAUAUCGGGAGGAACACCAGUGGCGAAGGCGGCGACCUGGGCCAAUACUGACGCUGAGGUGCAAAAGCGUGGGGAGCAAACAGG
rnacentral:rRNA from 1 species